rfam:Chlorobi bacterium OLB5 TZ05_CHB002CONTIG000294, whole genome shotgun sequence.
CGAUGGGCUUUGCCCAUCGCUGAGAUAUUUCGCCCCUUCGGGGCU